ensembl:lncRNA
AAGACGGUGAUUAAACCUCAUUCUUUUGUCUUUACAAAUAGAGAUAUUUACAUGGAUGGGCGGCCAUUCAGAGUGAUCAUUCUGUAAUAUCUUUCUUUUAUCUCUAUAGAUAAAGAGAUAGUUGCAUUGCUGGGCGAACAUUAUCACCUGAUUUUGUGAGAAAUGACAUUUGCAGGAAACGCCCACUUUUUGCAAACGUCUGCUGUAAUUGCUAACAUUUAAACAUUCAGCCUACAAUAAAUAAUAAGUCUAUUCAAUGAAAGUAAAGGUCAGUGUUUAAUCAAAAAUGUUAAAGAAAUGAAUGAAAUAAUAAUUUUAAAAAAUUGGUUGAUCAAUUUAGUUUAAUACAGGUUCUCAUAUUCAUGGCUUUAUUUUCCUGUAAGGUGACAAGUGAUAAUCUCAAAGUUUUCUGGAUUUCUUAUCAUUCUUAUAUGAUUACUUGCUCUUUUUUUCCUACUGUGGGUUUUAGUCCAUCAUCCAGAUGGUGGUGGUUGAGGAGAUUCCCUCGCCCCCAUACAAUGAAUAGCGCUUUGAUUUUACAGGCUUGGUUGGUUUCAAAGGAUUUUACGAGGACGAGCUCGUGGCUCAUUGUUACUGUUACAUUUAUCUUUUCUUUCAGGUGGUAGGUUUGAGCUAUAUGGCGGUAGGUUGGCGGUAUAUGGCGGUAUAUGGCGGCAGGUAGAGUUCGACGUCGAUUAAGGUCUUCUUCGCUUAGCCUCUACGGUUUGUGGCUCCUUGCUUCCUUUAAAUUUAUUAUUUUUUUCUUUCAGGUGGCAGGUGGAGUUAGACGGCAGUAGGGAACCAUAGAGAAAGCCAGAUGGCGCAAAAUUCAGGAAAUUUUUUUUACAAAAUAUAGUUAUUUCUAUUUGCUUUUGUACAUAAAGUUGAAAGAACAAAGCUAUAUAAAAUAAAGCUCAAGCUGACAGGUUUUCUUUUGGGUUGCACUAUGUUUUCAUUCAUCAGUAUCUUCACAAAUAAACCCAGUCACUACACAUUAAGACGGUGAUUAAACC